CUGAGCUCACAGUGGUGGAACCCAGGCUGGGCGGCCAGACUGAGGCAGAGGAGUUGCUGCCGGCCCGGAGGACUCCAGGCUCCCUCCCUCCCAACCCCUUGCCAUGGUCCUAGCCACUGUGCUUUUGAUACACACCCGGCCGCAGCAGCCUGUCACCCUGGGUGCUGUCACAGGCCUCCACUCCCAUCCCUGCACAGCCCGCGCUGGUGCCUAUGUCACAGCAGCACAGCCCACCCGUGGGUCCCUGAAGCUCCGGGGCAGCUGGGAUACUGAUGAAGGAUGCUCACCCCUCGGGAGCGCCCUGGCAGGGUCGAUGAAAGAAACAGAAGCUCACAGAAGAAGCGUCUGUAGCUCUACAACUGUUAAAUGACCAAACAGAUUUGGAAACCAAACUCUGAUCUGAAACCAGGACUUCCAGUUGCUUUACUGGCAUUUGUUACCCAGGAGAAGAACACAUUAAAAGGAAUUAAGUUGAAUCAGCCUUGGUUUUGUUUUCUGUAAAAGUAUUUUCAGAGAUGAUGUAUAUAUUCAGCCUUGUACCCAUUUGCAAGUAUUAAUAUGUGUGAUAAACUUGUUACUGGCCAGAAUUAUAGAAUAAGAGUGGGAUCCAAAGGAAAUGAGACAUAUCUAUUAUUAUUAUCAUGCUCAUUAUAGAACAAUUAAAAGUAAUUUUUA